rnacentral:rRNA from 1 species
AGCGGGACAUUUGAGGAUGGGGUGACUGCGUACCUUUUGUAUAAUGGGUCAGCGACUUAUAUUCUGUAGCAAGGUUAACCGUAUAGGGGAGCCGUAGGGAAACCGAGUCUUAACUGGGCGAAUGAGUUGCAGGGUAUAGACCCGAAACCCGGUGAUCUAUCCAUGGGCAGGUUGAAGGUUGGGUAACACUAACUGGAGGACCGAACCGACUAAUGUUGAAAAAUUAGCGGAUGACUUGUGGAUGGGGGUGAAAGGCCAAUCAAACCGGGAGAUAGCUGGUUCUCCCCGAAAGCUAUUUAGGUAGCGCCUCGUGAACUCAUCUUCGGGGGUAGAGCACUGUUUCGACUAGGGGGUCAUCCCGACUUACCAACUCGAUGCAAACUGCGAAUACCGAAGAAUGUUAUCACGGGAGACACACGGCGGGUGCUAACGUCCGUCGUGAAGAGGGAAACAACCCAGACCGCCAGCUAAGGUCCCAAAGUCAUGGUUAAGUGGGAAACGAAGUGGGAAGGCUCAGACAGCCAGGAUGUUGGCUUAGAAGCAGCCAUCAUUUAAAGAAAGCGUAAUAGCUCACUGGUCGAGUCGGCCCGCGCGGAAGAUGUAACGGGGCUAAACCAUGCAC